rnacentral:rRNA from 1 species
AGAGUUUGAUCCUGGCUCAGGAUGAACGCUAGCGACAGGCUUAACACAUGCAAGUCGAGGGGCAGCACGGGAGUAGCAAUACAACUGGUGGCGACCGGCGCACGGGUGAGUAACGCGUAUGCAACCUACCUAUCAGAGGGGAAUAACCCGGCGAAAGUCGGACUAAUACCGCAUAAAACAGGGGCACCGCAUGGUGAUAUUUGUUAAAGAAAUUCGCUGAUAGAUGGGCAUGCGUUCCAUUAGGUAGUUGGUGAGGUAACGGCUCACCAAGCCGACGAUGGAUAGGGGAACUGAGAGGUUGGUCCCCCACACUGGUACUGAGACACGGACCAGACUCCUACGGGAGGCAGCAGUGAGGAAUAUUGGUCAAUGGGCGGGAGCCUGAACCAGCCAAGUCGCGUGAAGGAAGAAGGAUCUAUGGUUCGUAAACUUCUUUUGCAGGGGAAUAAAGUGCAGGACGUGUCCUGUUUUGUAUGUACCCUGAGAAUAAGGAUCGGCUAACUCCGUGCCAGCAGCCGCGGUAAUACGGAGGAUCCGAGCGUUAUCCGGAUUUAUUGGGUUUAAAGGGUGCGUAGGUGGUUUGAUAAGUCAGUGGUGAAAGUUUGCAGCUUAACUGUAAAAAUGCCGUUGAAACUGUCGGACUUGAGUGUAAAUGAGGUAGGCGGAAUGCGUGGUGUAGCGGUGAAAUGCAUAGAUAUCACGCAGAACUCCGAUUGCGAAGGCAGCUUACUAAGCUACAACUGACACUGAAGCACGAAAGCGUGGGGAUCAAACAGGAUUAGAUACCCUGGUAGUCG